GGGGCCGAACUGGAUUCGACCGGGCAGCGUCAAGUCUUACGUGGCGCGUCGAGGCGCACGCGGGCCUCGUAAAAAGCGUGCAAAAAAAUGUUCAACGAGCCUUCAUACGCUCUUGCAGCCUAAUAAAUACGGUUGCACGAUUCUUCGGUAACGCCUGCUAGGCGAAGAAUCGAAGACAGCAGGCUAGCGGAGAUCCGAGAUCCUCAGGGGUCAAACCGCGAAGCUCUUCUGCGGAUAGGACAGUGGAAAGCUUGCGAGCGUGCGUUCCACUGUUGAGAUAAACCACUCGAUACACGCGUAGAUGCGUAUUACUGACUGUCACGGGACCGGGGUUCAAUUCCCCGCGGCUCCA
rnacentral:tmRNA from 1 species